CUCUCCCAUCCCACUGGCUGAGGGGAGUGAGCGAGUGGCUGCUUGGUGCUUAGUUGCUGGCUGGGGUUAAACCACGACAUGCAGUGAUCAGAUUAUUCUUCUGCCACCCCAUUCUGGCCAGGCAAUAGAUGAUUAUCAGGUUCAAGCCCAAAAAAGCCAAUGCUAAACAGCUACAGUAAGUUUAACACUAUUUGCAGCAACACUAAGGUACCUGUGAACACUAAUACAUAUUACAGCAUCAGCUAGGAAACUUAAUGUGCAAAAGGACUGAAAUGGACGAGUAGAAUUUUUUUUUUUUUUUUUUUUUUUUUAAGAGAAGGCCAAGAGGUGAACUAAUUGUUCUCUUCAACUGAGGGAGAUUCUGGGGAAAACAGCCUUAUACUCAGAGGUGCAUGGCAAAAGGACUGGAUGCAGCAGACAUGGGUUGCAGCAAGCUUGGUUACUUUGUUUCAUACACACGUCCUAUGAAUAGGAUUCAUACAGGUGUUUGGAGCCAAGGAUUCAUUUUUUUC